UACUACCGAAGCUACGGCAUCAGUAAUGAUGGGUAGGGGAGCUUCCCAUACGGGUUGAAGCAUGACCGUAAGGACAUGUGGACAGUAUGGGAGUGAGAAUGUUGGCAUGAGUAGCGAGAUGUGGGUGGGAAUCCCACAGGCCGUAAACCCAAGGUUGCCAGGGGAAGGUUCGUCCGCCCUGGGUUAGUCGGGACCUAAGCUGAGGCCGAAAGGCGUAGGGGAUGGACAACAGGUUGAUAUUCCUGUACUACCGAUAACCGUUUGAGAGAAGGGAUGACACAGUAGGAUAAGCUAAGCACACUG
rnacentral:rRNA from 1 species